UACGGAGGGGGCUAGCGUUGUUCGGAAUUACUGGGCGUAAAGCGCACGUAGGCGGCUUUGUAAGUUAGAGGUGAAAGCCCGGAGCUCAACUCCGGAAUUGCCUUUAAGACUGCAUCGCUUGAAUCAUGGAGAGGUGAGUGGAAUUCCGAGUGUAGAGGUGAAAUUCGUAGAUAUUCGGAAGAACACCAGUGGCGAAGGCGACUUACUGGACACAUAUUGACGCUGAGGUGCGAAAGCGUGGGGAGCAAACAGG
rnacentral:rRNA from 1 species